rnacentral:rRNA from 1 species
CAGCAGCCGCGGUAAUACGUAGGGGGCGAGCGUUGUCCGGAAUUAUUGGGCGUAAAGGGUGCGUAGGCGGUCUUUUAAGUCAGAUGUGAAAGGCCACAGCUUAACUGUGGAAUUGCAUUUGAAACUGGGGGACUUGAGUAUCGGAGAGGGUAGUGGAAUUCCUGGUGUAGCGGUGAAAUGCGUAGAUAUCAGGAGGAACACCAGUGGCGAAGGCGACUACCUGGACGAAAACUGACGCUGAGGCACGAAAGCUAGGGUAGCAAACAGGAUUAGAUACCCUGGUAGUCCUAGCUAUAAACGAUGGAUACUAGGUGUAGGGGUUUCGAUACCUCUGUGCCGCAGUUAACGCAAUAAGUAUCCCGCCUGGGGAGUACGUACGCAAGUAUGAAACUCAAAGGAAUUGACGGGGGCCCGCACAAGCGGUGGAGCAUGUGGUUUAAUUCGAAGCAACGCGAAGAACCUUACCAGGGCUUGACAUCCCUUGAACGCUAUAGAGAUAUAGUUUUUCUUUUAGAACAAGGAGACAGGAGGUGCAUGGCC